rnacentral:rRNA from 1 species
AGCGAACGCUGGCGGCAGGCCUAACACAUGCAAGUCGAACGAAGUCUUCGGACUUAGUGGCGGACGGGUGAGUAACACGUGGGAACGUACCUUUUGGUUCGGAACAACUCAGGGAAACUUGAGCUAAUACCGGAUGAGCCCUUAGGGGGAAAGAUUUAUCGCCGAAAGAGCGGCCCGCGUUAGAUUAGCUAGUUGGUGAGGUAAAGGCUCACCAAGGCUACGAUCUAUAGCUGGUCUGAGAGGAUGAUCAGCCACACUGGGGCUGAGACACGGCCCAGACUCCAACGGGAGGCAGCAGUGGGGAAUCUUGCGCAAUGGGCGAAAGCCUGACGCAGCCAUGCCGCGUGAAUGAUGAAGGUCUUAGGAUUGUAAAAUUCUUUUACCAGGGACGAUAAUGACGGUACCUGGAGAAAAAGCCCCGGCUAACUUCGUGCCAGCCGCCGCAGUAACAC